rnacentral:misc_RNA from 1 species
GAUGAAGAACGCAGCGAAAUGCGAUAAGUAAUGUGAAUUGCAGAAUUCAGUGAAUCAUCGAAUCUUUGAACGCACAUUGCGCCCGCCAGUAUUCUGGCGGGCAUGCCUGUCCGAGCGUCAUUUCAACCCUCGAACCCCUCCGGGGGGUCGGCGUUGGGGAUCGGCCCUUUACGGGGCCGGCCCCGAAAUACAGUGGCGGUCUCGCCGCAGCCUCUCCUGCGCAGUAGUUUGCACACUCGCAUCGGGAGCGCGGCGCGUCCAAUGCCGUAAAACACCCAACUUUCUGAAAUGUUGACCUCGGAUCAGGUAGGAAUACCCGCUGAACUUAAGCAUAUCAUAAGCGGAGGA